GGGGCUGACCGGAAUUGACAGCAUCGUUCAUUGAUAAGUAAGCAUGCCGAGCUUUGGAUUUUUGGCUCGUUCAAACUAAUGUCCAACACCCUUUUUAUACGGCGAGUACAACUACGCCAUGGCAGCCUGAUUCCAGGAAUCAGAUAGCCUUAGUGCCCACAGGCGUUUGUUCUGAUAAGUCUGUGACGCGCUUCAAUAGAUCAGAGCUGGUGUCAUAUGGUCCCGCUAUGACAUGAGAUAAAGGGAAUAAGGACUUCCUCAGGUAGGGUGUUGCACCCUGGAAGUCUCGAAAAUGAAGCAAUGCCUGAGCAUGGAGAAACCUUAUUGAUGCUUUGUCUGGACGCGGGUUCGAAUCCCGCCAGCUCCACUA
rfam:Sphingobacteriales bacterium BACL12 MAG-120813-bin55 contig00219, whole genome shotgun sequence.